rnacentral:rRNA from 1 species
UAAACGAUGAGUGCUAAGUGUUAGAGGGUUUCCGCCCUUUAGUGCUGCAGCAAACGCAUUAAGCACUCCGCCUGGGGAGUACGGUCGCAAGACUGAAACUCAAAGGAAUUGACGGGGCCCGCACAAGCGGUGGAGCAUGUGGUUUAAUUCGAAGCAACGCGAAGAACCUUACCAGGUCUUGACAUCCUCUGACAACCCUAGAGAUAGGGCUUCCCCUUCGGGG